AACAGUCCUUGACUAAUCCCACAGUGGGGAAAUUCACUUGAAUAGAAAAAUACCUAAAAACAAUAUGAACUGUAUAUGAAUAAAGUACCUACAGCUAAAAUUAAAACUAAAUAGAAACCUGAAAUCUGAGAGACUUUUAAACACAGAACAUGUUUUGUAUGAUCAUUGCAUAACUUUACAUUUAGUCUAGGAAACUGACUUUUCAAUCCAAAGGGUUUGAUUAGAAACUGAUCUUCAAGGAGCUUUUUGUCAAACCAGAUCUCUUUUCGUGUUAAAACACAAAUUCAUUCAUUUUAAUAGAGUCUGAACAGCAGGCAGCAUAAUUCCAGCCAACAUAACUGAAAAAUAACUGCCGCCUCAUUACUGGGGGAACUUCUGCCAUCACUAUGGCAACAGAACAGACCUGUUUCCAUAGCGACAUUACCAAACACUGCAGGGUGUUGAGUUGGAUUAUUUCCACAGUGCUGAUAAGAAUCAUUAUUUUCUUCAACCAAGGCAGGUUUCUGUAAUUAUUAAUGAGAUGUUGAGUCGACGUUAGCGGGUAAUCUGGAGGUAAAGGUGCUGAUGGCCUCACCGUAGCGCUGGGAACCAGCAAAGAAAGCUCUGGAGACCCUGCAGCAUCUCCUUUGGUGAUGCAAACUUGUGAGGAUCCCAGGUGAAGUAGCGCUUCCCGUCUGUGUGCUCGAUAUCGAGC